UACGUAGGGUGCGAGCGUUGUCCGGAAUUAUUGGGCGUAAAGGGCUCGUAGGCGGUUUGUCGCGUCGGGAGUGAAAACACCGGGCUUAACUCGGUGCUUGCUUUCGAUACGGGCAGACUAGAGGCAUGCAGGGGAGAACGGAAUUCCUGGUGUAGCGGUGAAAUGCGCAGAUAUCAGGUGGAACACCGGUGGCGAAGGCGGGUCUCUGGGCCGAUACUGACGCUGAGGAGCGAAAGCGUGGGGAGCGAACAGG
rnacentral:rRNA from 1 species